GCGGCCAUGGUUCAGUGGUAGAACGUGUGCUUGCCAAGCACAAGACAGGGUUUCGAUUACCCUUGGCCGCACAA
rnacentral:tRNA from 1 species